rnacentral:tRNA from 1 species
UGUCAGACAAUACGAUAUACUGUUAAUAUAUCUUCGAGGAGUAUCCUCUCUGACAG